GUGGAUUAGAUACCCUGGUAGUCCACGCCGUAAACGAUGGAUGCUAGCCGUCGGCAAGCUUGCUUGUCGGUGGCGCAGCUAACGCAUUAAGCAUCCCGCCUGGGGAGUACGGCCGCAAGGUUAAAACUCAAAGGAAUUGACGGGGGCCCGCACAAGCGGUGGAGCAUGUGGUUUAAUUCGACGCAACGCGAAGAACCUUACCAGCUCUUGACAUGUCCGGACGGUUUCCAGAGAUGGAUUCCUCUCAGCAAUGGGCCGGAACACAGGUGCUGCACGGUUGUCGACAGCU
rnacentral:rRNA from 1 species